rnacentral:rRNA from 1 species
UACGUAGGGUGCGAGCGUUGUCCGGAAUUAUUGGGCGUAAAGGGCUCGUAGGCGGUCUGUCACGUCGGGAGUGAAAACUCGGGGGCUUAAACCCCGAGCCUGCUUCCGAUACGGGCAGACUAGAGGUAUGCAGGGGAGAACGGAAUUCCUGGUGUAGCGGUGAAAUGCGCAGAUAUCAGGAGGAACACCGGUGGCGAAGGCAGCUCGCUGGAACGGUACUGACGCUGAGGCGCGAAAGCGUGGGGAGCAAACAGG